rnacentral:rRNA from 1 species
UACGUAGGGUGCGAGCGUUGCCCGGAUUUAUUGGGCGUAAAGGGUGCGUAGGCGGGUUUUUAAGUCAGGGGUGAAAUCCCGAGGCUCAACCUCGGAACUGCCUUUGAUACUGGAAAUCUUGAGUCUGGGAGAGGUGAGUGGAACUGCGAGUGUAGAGGUGAAAUUCGUAGAUUAUUCGCAAGAACACCGGUGGCGAAGGCGGCUCACUGGCCCGGAACUGACGCUGAGGCACGAAAGCGAUGGGGAGCAAACAGGG